CUUUAGCCCCGAUAGCAGUGAAAAUCCCCCGCUUUUUUUUGCGGGGAUUGUAACGGAUAGCGGGACGAUGA
rnacentral:sRNA from 1 species